AGGACGAACGCUGGCGGCGUGCCUAAUACAUGCAAGUCGAACGGUCUUUCUAUGGAAGCUUGCUUCCACUGAGAAGAUAGUGGCGAACGGGUGAGUAACACGUGGGUAACCUGCCCAUAAGAGGGGGGAUAACAUCCGGAAACGGGUGCUAAUACCGCAUAGUUUUCUUGAUCGCAUGAUUGAGAAAGGAAAGACGGCCUUUGUGCUGUCGCUUAUGGAUGGACCCGCGGCGUAUUAGUUAGUUGGUGAGGUAAUGGCUCACCAAGACGAUGAUACGUAGCCGACCUGAGAGGGUGAUCGGCCACAUUGGGACUGAGACACGGCCCAAACUCCUACGGGAGGCAGCAGUAGGGAAUCUUCCGCAAUGGACGAAAGUCUGACGGAGCAACGCCGCGUGAGUGAAGAAAGGUUUUCGGAUCGUAAAACUCUGUUGUCAGAGAAGAACAAGUUGGAGAGUAACUGCUCCAGCCUUGACGGUAUCUGACCAGAAAGCCACGGCUAACUACGUGCCAGCCGCCGC
rnacentral:rRNA from 1 species